GGUUAAGCGACUAAGCGUACACGGUGGAUGCCCUGGCAGUCAGAGGCGAUGAAGGGCGUGCUAAUCUGCGAUAAGCGCCGGUAAGGUGAUAUGAACCGUUAUAACCGGCGAUACCCGAAUGGGGAAACCCAGUGUGACUCGUCACACUAUCAUUAACUGAAUCCAUAGGUUAAUGAGGCGAACCGGGGGAACUGAAACAUCUAAGUACCCCGAGGAAAAGAAAUCAACCGAGAUUCCCCCAGUAGCGGCGAGCGAACGGGGAGGAGCCCAGAGCCUGAAUCAGCAUGUGUGUUAGUGGAAGCGUCUGGAAAGGCGCGCGAUACAGGGUGACAGCCCCGUACACAAAAGCGCAUGUGCUGUGAGCUCGAUGAGUAGGGCGGGACACGUGGUAUCCUGUCUGAAUAUGGGGGGACCAUCCUCCAAGGCUAAAUACUCCUGACUGACCGAUAGUGAACCAGUACCGUGAGGGAAAGGCGAAAAGAACCCCGGCGAGGGGAGUGAAAAAGAACCUGAAACCGUGUACGUACAAGCAGUGGGAGCCCCACCACCAAAGCAUUCUCUGGUGUUGAAGGCCCUGCAAAGCAGCAUCGCGGUGGCGGAGCGUCGUUUGCGACGCCCAACACACAAAACAAGCGGUGAGUGCUUUGGGGUGGGGUGACUGCGUACCUUUUGUAUAAUGGGUCAGCGACUUAUAUUCUGUAGCAAGGUUAACCGUAUAGGGGAGCCGUAGGGAAACCGAGUCUUAACCGGGCGUUAAGUUGCAGGGUAUAGACCCGAAACCCGGUGAUCUAGCCAUGGGCAGGUUGAAGGUUGGGUAACACUAACUGGAGGACCGAACCGACUAAUGUUGAAAAAUUAGCGGAUGACCUGUGGCUGGGGGUGAAAGGCCAAUCAAACCGGGAGAUAGCUGGUUCUCCCCGAAAGCUAUUUAGGUAGCGCCUCGUGAAUUCAUCUCCGGGGGUAGAGCACUGUUUCGGCUAGGGGGCCAUCCCGGCUUACCAACCCGAUGCAAACUGCGAAUACCGGAGAAUGUUAUCACGGGAGACACACGGCGGGUGCUAACGUCCGUCGUGAAGAGGGAAACAACCCAGACCGCCAGCUAAGGUCCCAAAGUCAUGGUUAAGUGGGAAACGAUGUGGGAAGGCCCAGACAGCCAGGAUGUUGGCUUAGAAGCAGCCAUCAUUUAAAGAAAGCGUAAUAGCUCACUGGUCGAGUCGGCCUGCGCGGAAGAUGUAACGGGGCUAAACCAUGCACCGAAGCUGCGGCAGCGACGCUGAUGCGUUGUUGGGUAGGGGAGCGUUCUGUAAGCCUGUGAAGGUGGCCUGUGAGGGUUGCUGGAGGUAUCAGAAGUGCGAAUGCUGACAUAAGUAACGAUAAAGCGGGUGAAAAGCCCGCUCGCCGGAAGACCAAGGGUUCCUGUCCAACGUUAAUCGGGGCAGGGUGAGUCGACCCCUAAGGCGAGGCCGAAAGGCGUAGUCGAUGGGAAACGGGUUAAUAUUCCCGUACUUGGUGUUACUGCGAAGGGGGGACGGAGAAGGCUAUGUUGGCCGGGCGACGGUUGUCCCGGUUUAAGCGUGUAGGUGUGUGUUCCAGGUAAAUCCGGUUCACUUUAACACUGAGGCGUGAUGACGAGGCACUACGGUGCUGAAGCAACAAAUGCCCUGCUUCCAGGAAAAGCCUCUAAGCAUCAGGUAACAUCAAAUCGUACCCCAAACCGACACAGGUGGUCAGGUAGAGAAUACCAAGGCGCUUGAGAGAACUCGGGUGAAGGAACUAGGCAAAAUGGUGCCGUAACUUCGGGAGAAGGCACGCUGACACGUAGGUGAAGUGAUUUACUCAUGGAGCUGAAGUCAGUCGAAGAUACCAGCUGGCUGCAACUGUUUAUUAAAAACACAGCACUGUGCAAACACGAAAGUGGACGUAUACGGUGUGACGCCUGCCCGGUGCCGGAAGGUUAAUUGAUGGGGUCAGCGCAAGCGAAGCUCCUGAUCGAAGCCCCGGUAAACGGCGGCCGUAACUAUAACGGUCCUAAGGUAGCGAAAUUCCUUGUCGGGUAAGUUCCGACCUGCACGAAUGGCGUAAUGAUGGCCAGGCUGUCUCCACCCGAGACUCAGUGAAAUUGAACUCGCUGUGAAGAUGCAGUGUACCCGCGGCAAGACGGAAAGACCCCGUGAACCUUUACUAUAGCUUGACACUGAACAUUGAGCCUUGAUGUGUAGGAUAGGUGGGAGGCUUUGAAGCGUGGACGCCAGUCUGCAUGGAGCCGGCCUUGAAAUACCACCCUUUAAUGUUUGAUGUUCUAACGUGGACCCGUGAUCCGGGUUGCGGACAGUGUCUGGUGGGUAGUUUGACUGGGGCGGUCUCCUCCUAAAGAGUAACGGAGGAGCACGAAGGUUGGCUAAUCCUGGUCGGACAUCAGGAGGUUAGUGCAAUGGCAUAAGCCAGCUUGACUGCGAGCGUGACGGCGCGAGCAGGUGCGAAAGCAGGUCAUAGUGAUCCGGUGGUUCUGAAUGGAAGGGCCAUCGCUCAACGGAUAAAAGGUACUCCGGGGAUAACAGGCUGAUACCGCCCAAGAGUUCAUAUCGACGGCGGUGUUUGGCACCUCGAUGUCGGCUCAUCACAUCCUGGGGCUGAAGUAGGUCCCAAGGGUAUGGCUGUUCGCCAUUUAAAGUGGUACGCGAGCUGGGUUUAGAACGUCGUGAGACAGUUCGGUCCCUAUCUGCCGUGGGCGCUGGAGAACUGAGGGGGGCUGCUCCUAGUACGAGAGGACCGGAGUGGACGCAUCACUGGUGUUCGGGUUGUCAUGCCAAUGGCACUGCCCGGUAGCUAAAUGCGGAAGAGAUAAGUGCUGAAAGCAUCUAAGCACGAAACUUGCCCCGAGAUGAGUUCUCCCUGAGACUUAGAGUCUCCUGAAGGAACGUUGAAGACGACGACGUUGAUAGGCCGGGUGUGUAAGCGCAGCGAUGCGUUGAGCUAACCGGUACUAAUGAACCGUGAGGCUUAACCUU
rnacentral:rRNA from 1 species